rnacentral:rRNA from 1 species
UACAGAGGGUGCGAGCGUUGUUCGGAAUUAUUGGGCGUAAAGGGCGCGUAGGCGGCGCCACAAGUCACUUGUGAAAACUCUGGGCUCAACUCAGAGCCUGCAAGCGAAACUGUGGUGCUGGAGUAUGGGAGAGGUGCGUGGAAUUCCCGGUGUAGCGGUGAAAUGCGUAGAUAUCGGGAAGAACACCCGUGGCGAAGGCGGCUCUCUGGAACGCAACUGACGCUGAGACGCGAAAGCGUGGGGAGCAAACAGG